CCACCCUUGCACCAUAGGCUUCCCCCGGAAACACAAUUGAAACCUCUUGUGUUUCCGUGUCACUCGUGGCAUUGCCCGGAGAACAUCGGCCCUCGUGACUUCUUCCCCCCCAGGUCCAGUGCUCUCACCACUGCACAUGGACCAGGAUUGCCUUUAGGGCUCCCCGUUUAAGGAUGCCCCGCCCAGUUCCAACAAAAGCAGCAGUCUCUCAACUUCGGGACACCAGUCCCCCCCAAAUUUACCCCCUGGGGCUGAGGGGCCUCGUGAACAGAGAUCUUCCUUUCCACUGAAGACAGAGGGCAUCCCACACCCUCCUCAGCCGUCUCUGUUCACUCCACUGCUUCACUUCUCUUUUGAUUCAAGGAUGCUUAAUGAGCCUGGAAAGUCUUGCAGUUGAUUGAAGUUUGUUUACUCAAUAAGUAACAGCUACUACAGUUUAGCUACUGAAAGUGAUAUAAUUAACAGCUUCUGUUAGCUCUAAGGGAUUCUAGACAUGUCAACAUCACAACUGAUACUGAAUGUGUUGCUGAACCACUUUUAAAACUGCACCUCAGAACCUUGGUCAGAGAGAACACAGUUUGUGUAGGAUAUAAAGGCCUUAUCUGUGACAUCUAAGUUCCCUGAAGCCACCAGUGAAACUCAAAACACCUGAUGUAAUGAGCACCAGGAGUCAUACCCAGACAAACAAGAUUCCUGAUCUUAAGCUCACUAGAGAAAAGAGGUCAAGAGCCAAGUGGAAGGAUAAGUCGUACAACCACAAUGCUCAUCUGUGUGGAAACCAGCCUUCAGAUUAGGAAGGAAAAACUAACAAAAGAUAUGGAAGAAAACACCUAUAUCUGACAAAUCUACAGGAAGAAAAGAUAAAAUGAUAGAAAAGCAGAGCCAGAACUAUCACAGGUCCCAUUUGGAGAGGACUACCAGUUCACAGAGGCCUAAAUUCAACAUUUUUGUAAGCAUCUUGCACUGAAUGCUAAGGUCAUUGUGCUGGAGAUGUCAGCUGGUUGUGCAUCCUACUGAGCUAUAAAGAAAUAAAUUGGGGGUAUCAACCCAAAAGUAGGUACCUUACCAAGCAGGACUACCAACCAGAACUAGGUACUACCUCUGCAUAGCGUCUUAUAUCUUUUAUGUUAUCUGCAGCAGCUCAUUUCCCUCACCAUUUCUCUUCUCCCACAA